rnacentral:rRNA from 1 species
ACGUAGGUGACUAGCGUUGUUCGGAUUUAUUGGGCGUAAAGGGUCCGCAGGGGGCCGGCUAAGUCUGAUGUGAAAUCCCGAAGCUUAACUUCGGAACGGCAUUGGAAACUGGCUGGCUAGAGCAUCGGAGAGGAGAGUGGAAUUCCAGGUGUAGCGGUGGAAUGCGUAGAUAUCUGGAAGAACACCAAAGGCGAAGGCAGCUCUCUGGACGAUCGCUGACCCUCAGGGACGAAAGCAUGGGGAGCAAACAG